AACGCACGAGACCUGCGGACCUGCGGAAGGAUCAUUACCGAGUUAUCCAACUCCCAACCCCUGUGAAUCAUACCUUUAAUUGUUGCUUCGGCGGGACUUCGCGCCCGCCGGGGACCCAAACCUUCUGAAUUUUUUAAUAAGUAUCUUCUGAGUGGUUAAAAAAAUGAAUCAAAACUUUUAACAACGGAUCUCU
rnacentral:misc_RNA from 1 species